UACGUAGGGGGCAAGCGUUGUCCGGAUUUAUUGGGCGUAAAGAGCGUGUAGGCGGCCGUACAGGUCAGCUGUGAAAACUCGAGGCUCAACCUCGAGACGUCGGUUGAAACCGUACGGCUAGAGUCCGGAAGAGGAGAGUGGAAUUCCCGGUGUAGCGGUGAAAUGCGCAGAUAUCGGGAAGAACACCCGUGGCGAAGGCGGCUCUCUGGGACGGUACUGACGCUGAGAGCGGAAAGCGUGGGGAGCGAACGAGG
rnacentral:rRNA from 1 species